AUUGAACGCUGGCGGCAGGCUUAACACAUGCAAGUCGAGCGAGCGGCGGACGGGUGAGUAAUGUCUGGGAAACUGCCUGAUGGAGGGGGAUAACUACUGGAAACGGUAGCUAAUACCGCAUACCAUCAGAUGUGCCCAGAUGGGAUUAGUAGGUAGGUGGGGUAAUGGCUCACCUAGGCGACGAUCCCUAGCUGGUCUGAGAGGAUGACCAGCCACACUGGAACUGAGAAACGGUCCAGACUCCAACGGGAGGCAGAAGUGGGGAAUAUUGGAAAAUGGGCGCAAGCCUGAUGAAGCCAUGCCGCGGGGGUGAAGAAGGCCUUCGGGUUGUAAAGCACUUUCAGCGGGGAGGCGUUACUCGCAGAAGAAGCACCGGCUAACUCCGUGCCAGCAGCCGCGGUAAUAC
rnacentral:rRNA from 1 species